rnacentral:rRNA from 1 species
AAUGGGCGAAAGCCUGACGCAGCGACGCCGCGUGAGGGACGAAGGUCUUCGGAUUGUAAACCUCUUUCAGCAGGGACGAAGCGAAAGUGACUGUACCUGCAGAAGAAGCACCGGCUAACUACGUGCCAGCAGCCGCGGUAAUACGUAGGGUGCAAGCGUUGUCCGGAUUUAUUGGGCGUAAAGAGCUCGUAGGCGGUUUGUCGCGUCGGAUGUGAAAACCCAAUGGCUUAACCUUGGGCCUGCAUUCGAUACGGGCAGACUAGAGUGUGGUAGGGGAGACUGGAACUCCUGGUGUAGCGGUGGAAUGCGCAGAUAUCAGGAAGAACACCGAUGGCGAAGGCAGGUCUCUGGGCCACAACUGACGCUGAGGAGCGAAAGCGUGGGGAGCAAA